GAUGAACGCUAGCGGGAGGCCUAACACAUGCAAGCCGAGCGGUAGAAGUCCUUCGGGACUUUGAGAGCGGCGUACGGGUGCGUAACACGUGUGCAACCUACCUUUAUCAGGGGAAUAGCCUUUCGAAAGGAAGAUUAAUACCCCAUAAUAUAUUGAAUGGCAUCAUUUAAUAUUGAAAACUCCGGUGGAUAGAGAUGGGCACGCGCAAGAUUAGAUAGUUGGUGAGGUAACGGCUCACCAAGUCAAUGAUCUUUAGGGGUCCUGAGAGGGAGAUCCCCCACACUGGUACUGAGACACGGACCAGACUCCUACGGGAGGCAGCAGUGAGGAAUAUUGGACAAUGGGUGAGAGCCUGAUCCAGCCAUCCCGCGUGAAGGAUGACGGUCCUAUGGAUUGUAAACUUCUUUUGUAUAGGGAUAAACCUACUCUCGUGAGAGUAGCUGAAGGUACUAUACGAAUAAGCACCGGCUAACUCCGUGCCAGCAGCCGCGGUAAUACGGAGGGUGCAAGCGUUAUCCGGAUUUAUUGGGUUUAAAGGGUCCGUAGGCGGGCCGAUAAGUCAGUGGUGAAAUCUCAUAGCUUAACUAUGAAACUGCCGUUGAUACUGUCGGUCUUGAGUAAAUUUGAGGUGGCUGGAAUAAGUAGUGUAGCGGUGAAAUGCAUAGAUAUUACUUAGAACACCAAUUGCGAAGGCAGGUCACUAAGAUUUAGCUGACGCUGAGGGACGAAAGCGUGGGGAGCGAACAGGAUUAGAUACCCUGGUAGUCCACGCCGUAAACGAUGCUAACUCGUUUUUGGGGCGCAAGCUUCAGAGACCAAGCGAAAGUGAUAAGUUAGCCACCUGGGGAGUACGUCCGCAAGGAUGAAACUCAAAGGAAUUGACGGGGGCCCGCACAAGCGGUGGAUUAUGUGGUUUAAUUCGAUGAUACGCGAGGAACCUUACCAAGGCUUAAAUGGGAAAUGACAGGCUUAGAAAUAGGCUUUUCUUCGGACAUUUUCCAAGGUGCUGCAUGGUUGUCGUCAGCUCGUGCCGUGAGGUGUUAGGUUAAGUCCUGCAACGAGCGCAACCCCUGUCACUAGUUGCUAACAUUUAGUUGAGGACUCUAGUGAGACUGCCUACGCAAGUAGAGAGGAAGGUGGGGAUGACGUCAAAUCAUCACGGCCCUUACGUCUUGGGCCACACACGUAAUACAAUGGCCGGUACAGAGGGCAGCUACCUAGCGAUAGGAUGCAAAUCUCGAAAGCCGGUCUCAGUUCGGAUUGGAGUCUGCAACUCGACUCUAUGAAGCUGGAAUCGCUAGUAAUCGCGCAUCAGCCAUGGCGCGGUGAAUACGUUCCCGGGCCU
rnacentral:rRNA from 1 species